CAUUGUAUUUAAUAGGAUUUGAACAUCCACAGAUUUUGGUAUCCAUGGGGGCCCUGGAACCAAAUCCCAGCUGAUAACAAGGGCACACUGUACACAUGAUUGUUUUUUUCCCCAAACAGAUAUUAAAUAAAAUUCUCAUUAACAAGUGAUUUUGGGGGGAAAAAUCAGACAAAAUGGAAGGCUGUAGAUUUUUGAAGGUGUGGAAAGGAUACCAUAUUACAACUCUUCCUUGAAGAAAGGUGUGUUGGAACUGUGUAUUACUGUAAUUACACUUUAAUACAUAAGCAAUAAUAAUAGGUGGGAAAAAUUGAACCCUGUAUAGGUGUUUCCUGGCAUUGUGGUUGAAUUGCUUCAACAAGAACAGGGAAGAACAACAAAUGGAGAGCAUUCAGUGAAACCCACAAAAAAAUCCAGAUGUGAUACUCUGACAGGUGCAGUUGUUUCUGUGGGAUGUCAGCUGUGUAAAGGUGUUUAGUGGAUUUAAAAAUCCCAUUUCUGCGCAAGAUUUGCCUCCGUGUGAUGAGCUCCUAUGACCAACCACUGUCAGCUCUUGACCAUAGAGUUGCACUAGAGGACCUGGAGAUUCCUAGAGGAGUGUUCUCUUAAGUAAAAAGAAUGCUUUUUAAAAUUUGCAUUUUUUCCACAUUCAUGUGGGUCCUUCACCCCUAACCUCAGCAAAUGUGGAGGAACCACUGUACUUAACAAAAAACAAACAAAAAAACCCAAACAGUAAAAGACAAAACACUUCAUCCAGAGCUGCUUAACCUUAAUUUGCUAGUUUGGAAUGUGGCAAAAUAUGACUAAUUAAUUCUUGGUUUGAUAUUGUUUUCAAAAGGAGGAGAGUUGGUCUGUAUAUAAGUCAACUGGGCUUUGGAAUGUUCUCGCAAAGAGAGCAUAUCUAUGCUUCAUAAUGUUGUCUCAAAGAGAACAGUGCAAUUACUAACUUGUGCCACAGGGUGGGAGCAAAGAUUUAUGUCUUAAAAGUUAGUGAAAUCAAAUGAAUCCCUGAGUUUCCUGCAGUUUGGAGCUGUAAAGUGAACCCAGUUAGUUAUUCCCAUUCCACAAUCUUGCAGAGUUUUGUGCCAGUAUCUUGACCAGUUUGGCAAAUGCUGGUAUUAAUACUUGCUUCAGAAGAAACCUGUCAGAUGUUGUGAUUAACAGACUGCUCUAGAUGUGUUGAUUUGCUCUGUUGUAACUUCGGAAUGCAGGUAUAUAGAGCAGUGUAUCUGAUCUGAAAGAAGUGGAGAGCUGGGAGCAUAAACCCAUCCUCUAUGUCCCUAUAGCACUUCCAUUCUGUGCAUAGUGCUGGGAGAAGAGUGCAGCUUUUGUUGUGAAUGAGUAAGGUGUCAUGUGUCCAGUCUGCAAAGUGAGCAAAUGGUAAUUUGAGGUAUAUGGUAGAACUUGGAAACUAGGGAAGUGCUACUCACCCAGGGCAAAACUGGUGAUCCCUAUGGGGACCAGGGGAGCAUGCCUGCAUGAUUGUUCUUGGUUUGUAAAUGUUCCAUUUUCAUUCCCACUAGCACGAUCACAACUGCCCUCCUGUUAUUCAUUUACAAAAGGGGAAAAUAGACAGCUAGAACUCUCCAGAAAGUGCGAGUCUUCUUUACAACAAGAUGCUUGCCUAAUACCUUAUUUUUACAGAAAACAUGGCUGUUAGAGAAUACAGUGGACUUUUGACUAAUGGUUUUAGCUUUGAGCUAAAACCACUGAUUUUAGCAAUGGAAGUGUCAUGCAGUCAGCUUGGUCUGUGUGUGAAGGAAUUGAUUCCAAGACUUCCCAAAGUUGGCCAAACUUGUGUCUUGGGAUCACCAUCCCUAUUGCUCAGUUACAAUCACAAUUUCUGCGCUCUCUCUCUCUGUUUCACCCACUCACUCACUCACUCACUCACUCUCCUCUUGAAUCUUUGAAGCAGCGCCUGCAAGAAAAUUGAGAAUGGCAAUUAUUCCUUCACAGUCUGGCAUGUAGGCAAUUAGCAGCAGGGAGUUUGGCCAAGCAUGGCAUGUGUGAGAUCUUUGUUGCACAAGCCCCAUCACCCCAUGUGGCGGUGGCUUGAAAGAAAGGAAAUUGAUAUGUCGACAUUUACACCACAAGUCCUGCUUAGGUGGGCAUGAUUGCAGCAGUAUCAACAAACUGACAUUUUGAAAAAUGCUGGCCCUGCCACAUGGUUUUAGUCUUGAAAUUUUGAGUUUUACCCUCAGCUCUAAAGGUACAUUUAAAACUCUUGUUCCCUAACUUCUCCAGUGUUGUAUAGCCAUUGCACCAGUCUCGAUCUUACUUUCUUCUCAGAUGGCUAAGAAAUUAUUAUUACCUGCUUAUAUGCUCCCAUUUCUUGUCUUCUUUUUUCUCCUUACAGGAAACUCCUCCUGGUUACAUAAUGGGAUGGGAACUGUAUGGCUUUCUAAAUGUUAUUUGACUGCAAUUCCCAUCAGGUGUAGCUAGCCUAGCCAGUGCUGGGGGAUGGUUGAAGCUGCAGUUCAAUAACACCAGGAGGGCUGAAGAGUUCCUAUUCCUCCUUUGUUGUUUUUGGUGUAUGGCAACCUUAAGGUGAACCUAUCAUGGGAUUUUCUUGGCAAGAUUUGUUCAGAGGGAGUUUGUCUUUGCUGCCUUCUGAGAUUACAGACCGCCAUUAAAGUACGCGCGGAGCGCGUACUAGGAUUAGGAAGGGGCGGUGCUUUCGCACUCCCCUAACCCUAGUAUGCGCUCUGCACGCACAAAAUGGCGGCGGCCGUUCCACAUGGCCACCGCCAUGAUGGUGUCACGAACGAGGCGGCGUGGGCAUGAUGCCAUCUCUCCACACGAGGGCGAUUAAUGCGCCCUUUUGGCGGAGUAGGAAGGAGCUCUGAAACGGAGUCCUUCCUGGUUUGCGUCGCUUGCUGCAGCCGUGUGAAGGCUGCACCAGCGACGCAAAUAAGAAAGGGGUCGAGUGGCCACUUUCUGGGAGUCCCCGCUGCCGUUGGGGUGUCAUUGGGGCUUGAAGGCCUUUUGCCGCUUUCCCACAGCCUGCAAAGUGGCGGAUCGGGGCCUUGGAGGCUGCCGGUUUGGCAGCUGAGGCCCUGGUACAGCGGGGAAAGGGGCGGGUGCAGGCCGCCGCUUUUCAGCGGUCUGUAACCCGCCAGUAUGACUUAUCCAAACUCACCUAGAGUCAUAGUCCAAUGCUCAGACUGUGCUGGCUCUUCAUCCUUUACAUGCUUGCAUAAGAACUUCCCCAGGAACCACUGUAACCUAAAAGCUGUUUGGCCUGCGCACACGUUUCUCCUUAACCGCCCUCCCUCAACUGGCUUAGCCACCAGAAUGUUGCCAUUAAGUUACACACCACCAGUGCUGAAACUGAUCUCGGCUGUUUUUUGUGUUCUUUGACAAAUCCACUUUUGCCUAUAGGUCCCAUCACCUAGUUCUGUUGUCAGGGUAAAAAGGCAGUUGGAAUCCACAUCAGAUUGGAAAGGUCCCCACAUGAAGGGGAAUUGGGAGUGGGAGGCAGAGACAUGGCAAGCAUAAGUGAAUGCAGAGUUAUUUAACCUUUUAAAAAUAGUUAAUACAAGAUGUCCUUCAGUUAACAAAGCUUCUGAAAAAGAAACUUCUUUUACAUAAGUCUUUUUAUGGGAGCCCAACCCAGCCCAGCCCCUUUUUUCUUGUCUCCUGUCUAACUGGAAGCUUAUUGCAGCAUUGGCAUUAGCAAGAUGAUGAAGAAGGGCUGGAGAAAGACACUUUCACUGUUGGGUUGCAGCAGUGUGUCUGCAAUAUGCAAUGUAUCUGGGAAAGAAUGAGAUUCUCCUGUAGGUGGUUCUGCUGUAGCUAGGUGUGCUUACACACAACAGGCAAGGUAAAAAAAUCUGCCUCCAGAGUCACUCACUUACUGAGCAUGUGAGAUGAGCAAAUCAUAAAGAAAGAGGGAGACUGGCUAGUGGAGCCUUCCUCACUAGCUGACCUAGCAUGUUGAAAAUGUAUAGAUCUGGACAAUUUGCCACCAAAACGGAAAUGAUAAGAAAAGUGCUGAAAAGAAGAAUAAUCCUGGAUACAUUUUGGAAGAAGUUUCUAAGUGGUCUGUAGAAAAUUAAAAAUGUUUUUGUUCGGUUAUGCAAUGCUUGCCUGAUGUGAUUGUUUCUUUUCAUGUAUACAUAAAGUUGAAUAAAAAGUUUGCUGAAA